CAAAGGAAUAGUACAUGAAAAGCAAAAAUUCUUGUAUACACGGCGGUGCAAGUCCACAUACAACAAAUAUGUUUUUCUGCAGCCAAUUCAUGGAUAUCAAGGGCAACCCAAUUCAAUUGAUGCUUUAUAGUACAUGAAAAGCAAAAAUUCUUGCAUACACGGCGGUGCAAGUUCACAUACAACAAAUAUAUUUUUUUGCAGCCAAUCCAUGGGUACCAAGAGCAACCCAAUUAAGUUGAUGCUUUAUAGUACAUGAAAAGCAAAAAUUCUUGCAUACACGGCGGUGUAACUCCACAUACAAUAAAUAUAUUUUUUUUGCAGCCAAUCCAUAGAUACCAAGAGCAACCCAAUAAAGUUAAUGUUUUCCCUUUUCUUCUUGUGCCUAUGUCUCAAGUCCUACAUCUGCUUUGGAGCUGACACCAUCACAGCAAACCAGUCUCUCUCUGGUGACCAAACAAUUGUUUCAGCUGGUGAGAAAUUUGAACUGGGUUUCUUCAAGGCAGGUAAUACUUCAAACUACUACAUAGGCAUGUGGUACUACAAGAAACUAGUACCAGAGCAAACCAUAGUCUGGGUGGCCAAUAGGGUGCAGCCAGUCUCUGAUAGAUUUUCUUCAGAGUUGAGAAUCUCAGAUGGUAAUUUGGUACUGUUUAAGUCCAAAACCCCAAUUUGGUCCACAGAUGUCAGUUCAAGUUCAGCUUCUUCUAUACAUGUAGUUCUUUUAGAUAAUGGAAACCUUGUGCUAAGAGCUGGGUCUUUGCCUUUAUGGCAAAGUUUUGAUCAACCAGCCCAUACUUUUCUACCAGAAAGCAAAAUUGGGUUCAACAAUGUUACAAAGCGAACUCAAGUCCUGACUUCAUGGAAGAAUUCUGAGGAUCCUUCACCUGGUCAAUUCUCUCUUGAGCUAGACCCGACGAGCAAGUCAUAUAUUAUAAAGUGGAAUAGGUCUCAACAGUAUUGGACAAGUGGACUUUGGGAUCAAAACAGACAUGUGUUCAGUUUGAGUCCCGAGAUGAGGCACUAUAUCUACAAUUUCAGCUAUGUUACAAACGAAAAUGAGAGCUACUUCACCUAUACUCUUUAUGAUGCUAGCAUCACAUCUCGAAUAAUAAUGGAUGUAUCGGGUCAGGUUCAGCAACUGUCCUGGUUGCACUCUCAGGGAUGGUACUUGUUUUGGUCUCGACCAAGGAAACAAUGUGAUGUUUAUGGUGUGUGUGGGCCAUUUAGUAGUUGCAGUGAGAAAUCCUUGCCCUUCUGUAAUUGUUUGAAUGGUUUUGAACCGAAAUUGAAGGUGGGUUGGGAUUUGCAGGAUUACUCUCUAGGGUGUUCAAGAAAAACCAGGCUGCAGUGUGGAAAUGUUACUGGUGUUGAUGGAAUGAGUGACCAGUUUAUAGAAAUGUCUAGCAGGCUAUCAUCCGCAGAUAUACAGUUUCAGAAUUUGACUUAUGUUUAUAGUAUGGAAGACUGUGAAUCAAUUUGCUUAAAUGAUUGCAAUUGCACUGCUUAUGGUUAUAGCAGCUCUUCUUCUGAAUGUUCAACUUGGAAAGGAGAUCUGUGGGCGGAUGAAAAUGGAAGAACUUUAUACAUCAGAAUACCAGCUUCUGAUCCCACAAGUAGAAAGCGAACCAUUGUAAUUGCAACAGUCUCAGCAACAGCAGGGUUGCUUACAAUAGUUUUUGGCUAUUUUUUAUGGAAGAAUACUUUGGGAAAGAGAAGUGAAACUAUAAAGAAUCUUAGCGCUGCUGGUGUGGAGAAUGAUACAGAACUACCACUAUUCAGUUUAAGGAGUAUAUUAGUGGCUACUAAUAACUUCUCUGAAGCAAAUAAACUAGGAGAGGGAGGAUUCGGCCCUGUUUAUAAGGGGAUUUUGCCUGAAAAUCAAGAAGUAGCCAUAAAAAGACUAUCAAAGAAGUCCGGGCAAGGACAACAGGAGUUCAUGAAUGAGUUAAAGCUUAUAGCGAAGCUCCAACAUACCAACCUUGUCAGACUCUUGGGUUGCUGCAUUGAAGCAGAGGAAAUGAUAUUGAUGUAUGAGUACAUGCCAAAUCGAAGUUUGGACAAAUUUUUGUUUGAUCCAUCCGAAAAGACAAAAUUGGAUUGGGGUAGACGUUUUAGAAUUAUAGAAGGUAUAGCUCAAGGAUUGCUUUAUAUCCACAAGUACUCAAGAUUAAAAAUCAUUCACAGGGAUCUAAAAGCAAGUAAUAUUCUAUUGGAUGGAACAAUGAACCCUAAGAUUUCUGACUUUGGAAUGGCAAAGAUUUUUGACAUAAAUCAAACUCAAGCAAAUACUAACAGGGUUGUUGGGACCUAUGCAGCGGCUACAUGUCACCUGAGUAUGCACGCUAUGGUCAUUUCUCUGAGAAAUCAGAUGUCUUUAGCUUUGGAGUUUUGUUGUUGGAGAUUGUAAGUGGAAAGAAGAAUGCUAUUUUCCAUCGUUUUGAACGUUCACCAACUCUCGCUGGAUGGGCAUGGGACCUAUGGAAAGAAGGAAGGGGAAUGGAGGUGAUUGAUGCAUCAAUAAGGGAAACAUUUUGGGCUCAUGAAGCUUUAAGGUGUAUCCAUGUAGGACUUCUGUGCGUUCAAGAAUCUGCAGCUGAUCGACCUGCA